CAACAGGGAUUGCCCUAGUAACGGCGAGUGAAGCGGCAACAGCUCAAAUUUGAAAUCUGGCCUCGGCCCGAGUUGUAAUUUGCAGAGGAUGUUUCUGGCGCGGUGCCUUCCGAGUUCCCUGGAACGGGACGCCACAGAGGGUGAGAGCCCCGUAUGGUUGGACACCAAGCCUGUGUGAAACUCCUUCGACGAGUCGAGUAGUUUGGGAAUGCUGCUCUAAAUGGGAGGUAAAUCUCUUCUAAAGCUAAAUACCGGCCAGAGACCGAUAGCGCACAAGUAGAGUGAUCGAAAGAUGAAAAGCACCUUGAAAAGGGGGUUAAACAGUACGUGAAAUUGUUGAAAGGGAAGCGCUCAUGACCAGACUUGUGCCGGGCGGUUCAUCCGGGGUUCUCCCCGGUGCACUCCGCCCGGCUCAGGCCAGCAUCGGUUCUCGUUGGGGGAUAAGAACGGUAGGAACGUGGCCCUCCCUCGGGAGGGUGUUAUAGCCUGCCGUACGAUACCCUGAUGGGGACCGAGGUUCGCGCUCCGCAAGGAUGCUGGCGUAAUGGUCAUCAGCGACCCGUCUUGAAACACGGACCAAGGAGUCGUCCAUUAGAGCGAGCGUUUGGGUGUAAAACCCGCACGCGUAAUGAAAGUGAAAUUAGGUGAGAGCUUCGGCGCAUCAUCGACCGAUCCUGAUGUUCUCGGAUGGAUUUGAGUAAGAGUUUUAACGGACGGACCCGAAAGACAGUGAACUAUGCUUGUAUAGGGUGAAGCCAGAGGAAACUCUGGUGGAGGCUCGCAGCGGUUCUGACGUGCAAAUCGAUCGUCAAAUAUGAGCAUGGGGGCGAAAGACUAAUCGAACUGUCUAGUA
rnacentral:rRNA from 4 species